rnacentral:tRNA from 1 species
GCCUGGUUAGCUCAAUCGGUAGAGCGUGAGACUCUUAGCAAGUUCACGGUCUGACAAGAACGAUUGAUCUCUCUGCAAUCUCAAGGUUGCGGGUUCGACCCCCGCAUCGGGCU